UACGUAGGGGGCUAGCGUUGUCCGGAAUCAUUGGGCGUAAAGCGCGCGUAGGCGGCCAGAUAAGUCCGGUGUGAAAGCCACAGGCUCAACCUGUGAAUGCCGCUGGAAACUGUCUGGCUAGAGUCCGGGAGGGGCGAGUGGAAUUCCUGGUGUAGCGGUGAAAUGCGCAGAUAUCAGGAGGAACACCUAUGGCGAAGGCAGCUCGCUGGGACGGUACUGACGCUGAGGCGCGAAAGCGUGGGGAGCGAACAGG
rnacentral:rRNA from 1 species